AUGAAGCUUGAAUGUACACUCUUUGGAUCAUAUGUUGAUGACCUUGAUGCAUACCUCCAAUCGGGUAACAACGAGACUGUUGUUGUGCUUGCUCAAUAUCUGAAAGUCAAAAUGUAUAAUGGAAAAAUCCAGAUGCAGAAUGCAAUGAACUGUAUCAAACUAUUGUUCAACCCAAAAUCACCUGAGGCAGAUAGUUUCAAACUCAAUGAUAAGAUUGGAUCACUCACUCAAACAUUUAGUUAUAUGAAGGAUGCUUCUGAGUUGAGUUUAUAA